rnacentral:piRNA from 1 species
UGACAGCAAAACUUCAAACUCUUCCCCACAA